rnacentral:misc_RNA from 1 species
GAUGAAGAACGCAGCGAAAUGCGAUAAGUAAUGUGAAUUGCAGAAUUCAGUGAAUCAUCGAAUCUUUGAACGCAUCUUGCGCUCCUUGGUAUUCUGAGGAGCAUGCCUGUUUGAGUGUCUUUAAAUUCUCAACUACACUGACUUUGAAUUGGUGUGGCUUGGAUUUGGGGGGAAAAUUGUUGUGGGCUUUUUGUAUAGUCUGCUCCCCUGAAAUUGAUUAGCGGUACCUUUGUGGAACUGUCUACAGGUGUGAUAAUUAUCUACAUCUUAGACAUCUGCUGGAAUGCUGCUUUCUAAACCUUACUUGUAUUGACAAUCUUGACCUCAAAUCAGGUAGGACUACCCGCUGAACUUAAGCAUAUCAAUAAGCGGAGGA